rnacentral:rRNA from 1 species
GAUGAACGCUGGCGGCGUGCUUAACACAUGCAAGCCGAACGGUGAACGAGGGAGCUUGCUCCCUCCGGAUCAGUGGCGAACGGGUGAGUAACACGUGAGCAAUCUGCCCUGGACUCUGGGAUAAGCGUUGGAAACGACGUCUAAUACCGGAUACGAGGCGUGGGGGCAUCCCCAACGCCUGGAAAGAACUUCGGUCCAGGAUGAGCUCGCGGCCUAUCAGGUAGUUGGUGAGGUAACGGCUCACCAAGCCGACGACGGGUAGCCGGCCUGAGAGGGUGACCGGCCACACUGGGACUGAGACACGGCCCAGACUCCUACGGGAGGCAGCAGUGGGGAAUAUUGCACAAUGGGCGCAAGCCUGAUGCAGCAACGCCGCGUGAGGGACGACGGCCUUCGGGUUGUAAACCUCUUUUAGCGGGGAAGAAGCGAAAGUGACGGUACCUGCAGAAAAAGCACCGGCUAACUACGUGCCAGCCGCCGCGGUAAAAC